UACGUAGGUGGCAAGCGUUGUCCGGAUUUACUGGGCGUAAAGAGCGCGCAGGCGGUCGUUCAAGUCGCGUGUGAAAGCCCCCGGCUCAACUGGGGAGGGUCACGCGAUACUGAUCGACUCGAAGGCAGGAGAGGGAAGUGGAAUUCCCGGUGUAGUGGUGAAAUGCGUAGAUAUCGGGAGGAACACCAGUGGCGAAGGCGGCAUCCUGGACCGGUAUUGACGCUGAGGCGCGAAAGCCAGGGGAGCAAACGGG
rnacentral:rRNA from 1 species